CAGAGAAACAGAAGUGUGAGGACACUGUCUCUCCUAUUCAGCUUAGCUUGGCUUGCUUAUUACAGAGUUGUGAUAGGAAAUUCUUCCUCCCUGGCAAAGUCCUAACAAUGAGUUACUGCCAGACAACAGCCUUUCAUCAGUUCUUGGAGGGAUAGACAACAGCUCACCUCCAUCUGACUGCUCUGUUUUCCGGCACGGGGAGACAAUUUAUGGAGGCUGCAGACAAAGUAAAAGUUCAGAGAGCACUUUCUCCUAUGCUGAGAAAGAAUGUCUGAUUCAUAAUAUGGGAGUCUUUACAUCGAUUAAAUGGCUCUGAGGGGA